rnacentral:sRNA from 1 species
GGGACAUCCCUAGGGCUAGAGCACUGGACAAUGGAUUGGCAAGGACGCCUACCAUGGGCUGGCUGCACUGGGAGCGCUUCAUGUGCAACCUUGACUGCCAGGAAGAGCCAGAUUCCUGCAUCAGUGAGAAGCUCUUCAUGGAGAUGGCAGAGCUCAUGGUCUCAGAAGGCUGGAAGGAUGCAGGUUAUGAGUACCUCUGCAUUGAUGACUGUUGGAUGGCUCCCCAAAGAGAUUCAGAAGGCAGACUUCAGGCAGACCCUCAGCGCUUUCCUCAUGGGAUUCGCCAGCUAGCUAAUUAUGUUCACAACAAAGGACUGAAGCUAGGGAUUUAUGCAGAUGUUGGAAAUAAAACCUGCGCAGGCUUCCCUGGGAGUUUUGGAUACUACGACAUUGAUGCCCAGACCUUUGCUGACUGGGGAGUAGAUCUGCUAAAAUUUGAUGGUUGUUACUGUGACAGUUUGGAAAAUUUGGCAGAUGGGGAGUCCAGGUUGUCAAUCGGUCACAGAGAAAGAAGCAUCUUCAUUCCUGCCUUUCCUCAAUAUACACACCAUCUCUGCACUACUUCCUCAGAACAAUCCCAGCAGUCUGGGAGGUUAUAAGCACAUGUCCUUGGCCCUGAAUAGGACUGGCAGAAGCAUUGUGUACUCCUGUGAGUGGCCUCUUUAUAUGUGGCCCUUUCAAAAGCCCAAUUAUACAGAAAUCCGACAGUACUGCAAUCACUGG